UCCGCACGACCGGCCUCGUUCGGGAGUAGCGACCACCACUUGGUGACCACGAUCUGAAAGCCUCGCCGGACACGCCGCCGGUGCCUACCCUAAUCCCGGCGCAAAUAUACCGUGCCGCCGCUCGCCGGACGCGCCGCCGAAUCAGCUCUCUCCCUCUACACUCCAUUUCUGCACCUCGGCCGCCUCGCCUAGCAGGUCGCCAGCCUCACCUGCUGGCACUCGAGCUCGCCGGCGUCCUCCAGGAACAGCCCGGGAUUUCUGCACCUCUCGGCAGAUUUACGGCACCCGAACUGCCCGAGAUUUCUGCACCUCUCGGCAGAUACACGGCACCCGAACCUCCCGGGAUCUCACACUCUGAACCCCCGCGGCGGCAUCGUCCCUAAUCUCCAGUUCUCCACCACCACUUCCUCGACGGUGAUUUCCAACUGACACUUGAGAACACCUCAACACAGCUAAGGUGGAAGGCUGUCACUUUAUCCUAUUAAAAAAUCUAUCGCUGAGGCUAUUUAUCCAUAAUACCUGCAACCUCAAAGCUUGGCCUUGAAUGGACUGUUCCUAAAUUCUCAAGAUUAUAGUAAAACUUAUAAGCUUGGAGCUAGAUGUUGGUAAUACUGCUAAUUCCCUUACAAUAUAUAUGCCGAUCAGUGGAAGUAUGUCAUGUUGGAGAUUAGCCAUUGAUUAAUAUUCCAAAUUUCAUUGGCCGGUGAGAUGUUUGUUGAACUUGUGUCAUUCACCAUUAUUGGAUAUCUCUCUUUUGGGUUCAAAGGACUUAAUUCUUUUAAGGUUAAUAUUCACAUGGGCCACAUGAAUUUACUACCACUAGAAACUUUAGCUCCUCUGAAACAAGAAACUGAUAUUUGAUAACUGGCUGUAGCUUCAAUUCCCACUGCAAUUGGAAUACCUUGAGAUAUCAUCUAAUUAUAAUUAGUUGGUAUGUUCUCCCCAAAAAUAUGUGUGUGCGCUGAUUGCUUUGUUUCAACAAGUCAAGUCAUUCUAGCUUGUCAGGCCCGUUAUGAAAAAGAUACUCCCUCCGUCCCUAAAAAAGCUGCUCAACUUUAUCUAUGGAGGUAUAUAAACACAUUUUAGUUAUAGAUAUACUAGUAUCUAGAAAAAGUUGAGCAGCAUUUUUUUUGGGGAUGGAGGGAGUAUUAUGGUUAAGUUCACAUCUGCUAGCUUCUUACUGACUACUGCUGGUGGUAGCAACAGCCAACAGUUGCUUGUGCUGUUUGAUUUUUUGUUUUGUUCAUAAUGUCAAUAAGUGCUCUCAGACAUUACAUUUGUAGUAUACUAGGUGAAAUCUACAGAGGUCUUGAUGGUUUGCCUAAUGUGUAGGUAAUAUGUAAGAUAAAAAAUAUUGUAUCACAUGACUCAGAUGAGAAGCUAAUUUUUGUGGAGACUUUUCAGUGUUUUUCUGGCCAUGGGACUUUACUUACUUCUUAAUCCAGCUUUACAUAUCAAUGCAUGGGAUUUACCUUGUGGCUUGUGAAGCAUGGAUAACAGGGUUUAUGGACUCCUACAUUGAAUCGAUUUUUCCUAUUGGAUACUAUAUAAUACCAAUAAAAUCAUGAUGCCUUGUAGAUGACAACAAAUUCGUUUUCAGAGAUCACUGAUGGGUGCUUUGCUGCAGGCAUGGAUUAUUUGAUAUCUAAGCCAAUGUACCUCCAGAAAACAAAAGAGUGCAUGCAACAGUAUUUUUGUCUCAGUAAUUAACCAAGUGUUGUAAAGUAGAAAGUUAAAUUCUAGCUUAGGAAAGUUUUGUGAAAUGACAUCAGUCUUUUAUUGUGAAAACUGAAUUGGUAUUUCUUCAGGCUGGCUGGCCUUGUAUCUUCUAAAGCAUAAGGUACUCAUUCAUCAUGAUCAAGAACUCACGGGGAAGUUGAGGAAAACAACAGGCAGCGAUGCAUCUGCCCUUUCACUUGGCAUCUGCCACAGUUCCUGAGCAACUACGACCAUCAGUGCAGCGCCCACAUGUCCUUGGCUCUGCACUCGGAAAUUAUGUUGUUUUCAUCCAAAUUAAUUGUACAACAGCCAAAGGAAUUAUAUUUAGAUACAUUCAGUUGCACGGGGUAUUAAUUUUCUUAUUCCGAAGACGUGCUGGGAUGGUGACGGUGACGUGAAGUUGCUGAUGAUGCUUAUCAAUUCAAACUGAGUGAUAUGCACGCUUGAACUAACUUAGUCAACGGCCAGGUUUUGACGCAUGCAUGUAAGCUAUGCGCAUGUACAUGCUUUUAAAGGGAAUAUGUACAUGUACUUGCUGGUGAAUAUUUCAAACACGAAUCAGGUCAACUGGAGAAAAGGGUCGAAUUCGAGAAAACAAAAAAUGAUAUGAUGAUAUGAUAGAUUAAAAUGUUGGUAUUGUUACAUCCUUCAGGAGAACAAAAGCUGAGCUAAAUGUCACUAAGGAUACCCCUUCGGCGAGGUCAGAGCAAU